AACGCUGGCGGCAGGCUUAAUACAUGCAAGUCGAACGGUAAGUUUGGUAGCAAUACUAAACCAAGAGUGACGUACGGGUGCGUAACACGUAUGCAACCUACCUUGUACAGGAGGAUAGCUCGGGGAAACUCGAAUUAACCCUCCAUAAUAUGAUUGAGUGUCAUCACUUGAUCAUUAAAACUGAGGUGGUACAAGAUGGGCAUGCGUUUGAUUAGCUAGUUGGUGGUGUAAUGGACCACCAAGGCGAUGAUCAAUAGGGGAACUGAGAGGUUGAUCCCCCACACUGCCACUGAGAUACGAGCCCACUCCUACGGGUCUCAGCAGU
rnacentral:rRNA from 1 species